UACGAAGGGGGCUAGCGUUGUUCGGAAUUACUGGGCGUAAAGCGCACGUAGGCGGGUUGUUAAGUCAGGGGUGAAAUCCCGGAGCUCAACUCCGGAACUGCCUUUGAUACUGGCAACCUAGAGGCCGGAAGAGGUUAGUGGAAUUCCCAGUGUAGAGGUGAAAUUCGUAGAUAUUGGGAAGAACACCAGUGGCGAAGGCGGCU
rnacentral:rRNA from 1 species